rnacentral:lncRNA from 1 species
CCCUGCCCAUCUCCUCCUCUCUCAAUUUUUGCAGCCACCAAACCCUAGCCGCCCCCCCCCCCCUCAAUCCCCUCCUCCCACGGAGCCAAUCCUUGCCGCUCGGAUCGUCGUCUCGUGGUGCGAUUCUCCAACCGUUUUGGUGGAGGGAAGAAGGGAGGAAGGAAAGGGGGAGAACCCAAGGUGGUGGACUUCCAGAUCGUUCUUAGGGAUUUUGCCCAAACUUCGGUGAAGGCAAGUAAAACUGUGAUGGUUAUUCCGUCUGUCAGAUGAGGAGUCUUAUACUUGUUUAUGUUGUGCUAUCAUGUUCAAAUUCAUAUUUUCUUUUGAGUACCAUCAUUUGAAAAUGUUCAUGUUUCAUGGAUUUCAUAUGUUGAGUUUGAGGUUUGAUUAUGUUACUCAAGUGGUUAUUAUGUGGAAUGGGUGGAAGUAAAUGCCUAGCACAUUUUUAUUUGGGAAGAACUUAUGAUGUUGUCAUGCAUAAUGCACUCAUCAUCCAUUGCAUUGAAGUUUCGUCGCGAUCUUAUGGUCCGACCGUACCAGUACAUUGAGCAUCAUAUGUUGCCCGAGAAGGGGUAUGGUGCAGCUUCAUAUCCUUAGAGAUAUGGAGGCAGAAGUCAUUAUUGCAUUUGUAGCCAUGUGCAUUCAUGGGAGAGGUGUUGAAUCUAUUAUGUGGAUGUGGAUAAUUUGGACUUGUGCAUGGUGAUUCUACUUGGCGUUGAGUUUUUAGUUACUUGUAUACUUGCUGCAAUUUACUGUUCAAAAGAAAAGAAAGAAGUCCUGAACACGUGGUUGUGUAAGCACAGUUGAUUUACAAUGGCCUACUUGUUGUUGUUAUGUUUACUUGCUGAGAUGUGUUAUCUCACAUCUUGCAUUGUUUGAUGCAGGCACCUAAUUUCUGCUUUGGGGAAUAAAGGGGAUGUAGCAGCACGACCACUACACCUUUAAUAAAGGAACCACCAUUUAAUAAUGUUGAUAAUCAGAGUUGGACAAGUCUAGUGAAUUGCUUUGUUCUUGGUUGAGCGUUUAUUUUGGGGUGGGCUGAGUUUCUUAUCCCAUUUGUUUUACUUCAGUUGGGUCAUAAUUAGGUUUUACCACUUUUGCAUUACAGUUUCUACUAUGUGAAUUAUAUGUCUUUAUAUCUUGUAUGAGCUUCAUGUUUCCCCUCCUUGUUAUGCUAGUUUUCAAAGGAGGUGCUGCCGGAUUUUUUCUUGCUUUAUAUUCUUUCUUUAUUACAUCUCUUGUGUUGAGUAAGUUUAGUGGAUGAGGUUUUUGGUAUUAUCCAUUCUGUGCGACCAGUGGGGUGUUACAGUUGGUAUCAAAGCAAUAGGCUGUAGGUCCUAGCAAGUGAAGUAGUAAUAAAUUGACACACUGCACAUGUAGGAUGGGAUUUCUGGCUUGCUAUUGAUAUGUUCUGUUAUUGUAUGUGCUAGUUUGGCAUUAUCUGAAGAGAUGUUAUGCCAAUCUUAUUUACUUAUUAUUCUCAUCCCUGUGGCAGCAGCUAUGCCGCCUCGUAGGGCUCGAGGUAGUCCGCAAGCUCCUAGUGGGGACUCGAUGAGUCCGGCGGCAAUGUUAGCCGCAAUGCAGGCCAUGCAGCAGGAGUUGGCCCUUCUGAGGCAAGCCAUUCCUGUCGCCCCUGCGGGUGCUACUCAGGGUGCUGGAGGUGGAGAAGUGCCCGGGGGCGCUGUCCCUGCGGGUGCUGUUCCAGGUGGCGGGGCCGAGGUGCCUCUUCCAGUCAGUGGUCUUUCUCUGAUGCAGUGGAUGGGCUUGAAGUUGGAUUCUUUUGAUGGCAGUGGUACUCCGGUCGAGGCGGCAGAUUGGUUGACUUAUGUGGAGGAUAAGAUGAAUGUCUUCGAGAUUGCAUAUGGAGAUCGGGUUCGCUUUGGCACUCAGCUGCUGAAGGGAGAGGCGCAAAUUUGGUGGAGAGGCGUGCAGGCAGCGCACUCCUCCUCACCAGGAGUCCUAUCAUGGGAUGUUUUCAUCAGGCAGUUCGAAAGGAGAUUCUACCCGGUCACCUUUCUGGAGAAAAUGAAGAUUUACUUGCAGUCCUAUAAGCAGGAGAAGAAGUCUGUCACAGAGUAUGAGGUGGGCUUCAACAAGAUGGUCCGCUUUGUCCCUCAUGUGGCUUAUAAUGAGAUGGAGAAGGCGAGCCAAUUCCGUCAGGGUCUGAAGCCUUCUAUCAGGCAUGCACUGGGGGCCUUUCCGUUGGUGGACUUCCGUACCACGGUGGAGCAGGCGCUGGGUGUGGAGAUGCAACACCAGUACACCAUGGAGUCGCAGAAGUCUUCGGGUGUUGAUCAGCCUCGUAGCCAGGACACGAGGAGGGGCAACACUGGAGGUCCAACUCACAAGAGGGGCAAGUCUCAGCAUCAGCGCCACCAUCCUUACCGUGGCAAAUCUUCUGACUCAGGUACUUCGGGAGGAAGUACUCAGAGGUUUCGGGCCGUUCCUAAGCCCGGGCUGGGGCUGGUGUGUUUCCGCUGUGGAGAUGCGCAUCGCCGUGCAGAGUGCCAGUGGAGUGGUAGGUGUUCUAUCUGCAGUCAGGACCACAAAGAUGUGGUGUGUAGGAGGAAUCCCAAUGGGAAGCUCAGAUGGGAGCCAGUAACUUCCUCCUCUUCUCAGGGCACUAUCAAUAUGAUGUCGAGUGCUGAGCAGCAGUUUUCAGUUCCUCUUCCUCCACAGCAGCUUUAUGUGCCUGGGACUUCUCAAUUCGUGCCGAUGCAAGGUUUUCCUCGGUAUCAGGCUGUGCCUACUCCUGCACCGUCUACACCUGUGCUGACUCAGUUUGGAGCUCCGCGUCAGCCUCCUCCGGUGGCUCAGUGGGGUUCUUUUGUUAAUUUCACUCCGGGAGCUUCCUCUUCUGCGGGAAUUUCUGGAGCUUAUGUGCUACCCGCUACGGAUGGCAGGGAGCAAGGAGACGUGGUGACAGGUACGAUUUCAGUUGAUUCGUUUGCAGCCCAUGCUCUUUUUGACUCUGGCGCUAGCUAUUCAUUUGUUUCGGAGGAUUUUGUGUUGCGGGCUGGUCUUUCGGUGCAGAGGUUGGGUCACCCAAUUUUGGUUAGAUCUGCUAAUGGCUCCAUUAGUAGCUGUUCAGUUUGUCAGGGGUGUUCCGUCAUUCUUGCUGAUGAGGUUUUUUCGGCCAAUCUGGUGGUGAUUUCCUUGGGGGCAUUCGAUGUUAUCUUGGGUAUGGAUUGGUUAUCCUAGUAUCGCGCGGUUAUAUCCUGCUUCUGGAAGACAGUGUUAUUGCAGGCGCCGUCGGGUAAGGAGGUGGUAUUCUUGGGAAGUUCCCCGAAGUUCACAUUAUCCUUGUUGGCGCAAUUGCUUCCUGAUCGCCGGUCAAGGAAGUCGGGGAUCUUUUUCUCUAUGGUGGUGGAGGGUGAGGCUGCCUUGCGGGUGCAGGACAUCUGGGUGGUGUGUGACUUUGCUGACGUGUUUCCGGCAGAGCUUCCAGGCAUUCCUCCGGAGCGCGAUGCAGCUUUUGAGAUUAAGCUGAUCCCGGGUACGCAGCCUAUUCAUAAGGCCCCGUAUCGAAUGGCUCCAAAGGAGCAGAUUGAAUUAAAGCGGCAAUUGGAUGAUCUGCUGGCUAAGGGCUUCAUUAGGCCUAGCAGGUCUCCAUGGGCUUCCCCAGUAUUGUUUGUUGAGAAGAAGGAUAAAAGCAAGCGACUGUGUGUGGAUUAUCGCGCUUUGAAUCAAGUGACAAUCAAGAAUAAAUAUCCGCUUCCCCGAAUUGAGGUCCUCUUUGAAUAGUAGAGGGGUGCCUAGGUGUUCUCCAAAAUUGAUUUGAACUCGGGUUAUCAUCAAUUGAGGAUUCGUGAGGAGGAUAUUGAGAAGACUGCCUUCUGCACCAGGUAUGGGCAUUAUGAGUUCAUAGUCAUGUCUUUUGGCUUAACUAAUGCCCCUGCUGCCUUUAUGGAAGCAAUGAAUAGGAUGCUGCAUGAAUUCCUGGACGAUUUUGUGGUCGUAUUCCUGGAUGAUAUUUUGAUUUAUUCAAAGACUGAGGUCGAGCAUGAACAGCAUCUCCGUCUCGUUCUGGGUGCCCUAAGGAAGAAUCAAUUCUAUGGCAAGUUGAAGAAGUGUGCCUUUUGGCUUUCCGAAGUGGCUUUCCUGGGGCACAUGAUUAAUCAGCAGGGUAUUGCGGUUGAUCCCAAGAAUGUUGCGGCUGUGGUGGAGUGGAAGAGACCUUCUAGUGUCUCUGAAAUCCGAAGUUUCUUGGGGCUUGCUGGGUAUUAUCGGCGCUUCGUACCAAAUUUUUCCAGCAUUGCUAAGCCUUUGACUAGGCUCUUGGAGAAGGGUGUUCCCUUCAUCUGGUCCGGCGAAUGUGAGGUCAGUUAUCAGUCAUUGAAGAGCAAGUUGGUGGACGCCCCUAUCCUAGCUUUGCCUGAGAGCGGUAAGUGUUUCACAGUUUAUACGGAUGCUUCGCGUAUCGGUCUUGGCUGUGUGCUGAUGCAGGAAGGCAGAGUGAUUGCUUAUGGCUCAAGGCAGUUGAGGAAGCAUGAGGGGAAUUAUCCAACUCAUGAUCUGGAAUUGGCCGCGGUGGUUUUUGCUCUAAAGUCGUGGAGGCAUUACCUUUAUGGCGAGGCUUGUGACAUUUUCACCGAUCACAAAAGUCUCAAGUAUAUUUUUACUCAGAAGGAGCUGAAUUUGCGGCAGCGUCGGUGGCUAGAAUUGAUUAAAGACUAUGAUUUGUCCAUUCAUUAUCACCCCGGGGAAGGCUAAUGUGGUGGCGGAUGCCCUUAGCAGGUCCGGGGUUCCAAAGGUGGCCUUGCCGUUGGUCGCUGAUCUGGACCGUUUGGGGAUCGUUUUGUGUUAUGUCGGCACCGCUAGCGAGGAGACUCAGAUGCUUAUUCAAUCCUCUCUUAUGGAGAGAGUGUGUGCGGCUCAGCAGCAGGAUCGUCUUUUGCAGGAAGCUCGAAAGAGGGUUGGUGAUGGUAAACCGCGGGAGUUCACCAUUGAUGAGAAUGAUUUGGUUCGUUUCAGGGGCCGUCUUUGUGUGGCUCAGAAAUCAGAGGUGAAGCUGGAUAUCCUGCGAGAAGCUCAUAAAACGCCUUACACCGUCCAUCCUGGCGAAACCAAAAUGUACCGAGAUUUGAAGCAAAACUUCUGGUGGAAGCGGAUGAAGGUUGACGUUUCUAAGUAUAAGGCCGCCUGUGAAGUAUGUCAGCGCGUGAAGGCCGAGCAUAAGCGGCCUGCAGGUUUGCUGAAGCCAUUAGAAAUUCCAGAGUGGAAAUGGGAGCAUAUCACCAUGGAUUUUGUGGUGGGUCUACCUCGUUCCCCUCGUGGCAGGGAUGCUAUUUGGGUGGUAGUGGAUCGCUUGACUAAGUCUGCGCAUUUUAUUCCCAUGAAGACCACAAAUUCAGCUUCAGAUUUGGUUCCCUUGUAUAUGAAGGAAGUAGUCAGGCUUCACGGGGUACCUAAGUCUAUUGUUUCUGAUCGAGACUCCAAAUUUGUAUCCAAAUUCUGGGAGAGUCUCCAUAGUUCUUUGGGCACCAAGCUUUCGCUUAGUGUCGCUUUUCACCCUCAGACGGAUGGUCAGUCAGAGCGAACAAUCCAAACCUUGGAAGAUAUGUUGCGUGCUUGUGUUCUGUCAUGGAAGGGUAGUUGGCAGGAUCAUCUUGCACUGGCAGAGUUUGCGUAUAACAACAGCUACCAAGCUAGCAUCAAGAUGGCACCAUUUGAGGCUUUGUAUGGCAGGAGGUGUAUCUCUCCUCUGUGCAGGGAGACUUUGGGAGAGAGAUCCCUGGUUGGUCCUGAUUGGGUUCAGCAAACUUCUGAAAAGGUUCGGGAAAUUCGUCAGAAUAUUUUGGCAGCUCAGAGUCGUCAGAAGAGUUAUGCUGAUGUGAGGAGGCGGGAUCUGGAAUUUGCUGUGGGUGACCAAGUCCUUCUCAGGGUAUCACCCACUAAGGGAGUUGUUUGGUUCGGUGUCUCUGGGAAGCUCAGCCCGAGAUACAUUGGACCGUUCACUAUCUUGGCCCGAGUGGGCAGUCUGGCUUAUCGCUUGCUGCUGCCGGAUUCCAUGGCAGGGGUACACCCGGUUUUUCAUGUCUCUAUGUUGAGGAAGUUCUUGCGGGAUCCGGACCAUCAGAUUGAGAUGGAACCAAUUGCGGUACAGCAGGAUCUGACUCUGGAGUGUCGUCCGGUGCGUAUAUUGGAAUUCUCGGAGCGUGUGUUGAGGAAGAGAUCAAUUAAGUAUGUCAAGGUCUUAUGGACUAAUCAGUCUGAGCGCGAGGCUACGUGGGAACUUGAGGAGCUGAUACGGCAGAAGUACCCAGAACUUUUCGUUGUGGGUAAGUGUUGUUGAUUCACUAAUCUUUUCUUUUGUCAUUCCGAUAGAAGCGUCAGAAUUCGAGGUCGAAUUCUUUUUAAGAGGGGUAGAGUGUGAUACCCGGUUUGCAAAGAAGAGAAGUUGGGGGUUGUUCUUUUUGUUUUUUUUCCUCAUCCGGUUGUUGUUUUGGGGAUUUGGAAUUUUGUGGAAAACAUUCACAACUAGGGCAGUAGAAUUUAUUUGGUUUGACGCUAGCGUUGCGGUCGGGAGCUGUCGCGUGGGUUAGUUGGGCCGCAAUAGGUGUUUCGGCCCAUUAACCCUCCCAAACCCUAGCCGCCUCCCUCCUAACCCCCUCCCCCCAUGUGCAGCCGCCCCCCCACUUCUCCUCCCCUUGGCCGCCGCCCCCCUGCCCAUCUCCUCCUCUCUCAAUUUUUGCAGCCACCAAACCCUAGCCGCCCCCCCCCCUCAAUCCCCUCCUCCCAAGAUGCCAAUCCUUGCCGCUCGGAUCGUCGUCUCGUGGUGCGAUUCUCCAACCGUUUUGGUGGAGGGAAGAAGGGAGGAAGGAAAGGGGGAGAACCCAAGGUGGUGGACUUCCGGAUCGUUCUUAGGGAUUUUGCCCAAACUUCGGUGAAGGCAAGUAAAACUGUGAUGGUUAUUCCGUCUGUCAGAUGAGGAGUCUUAUACUUGUUUAUGUUGUGCUAUCAUGUUCAAAUUCAUAUUUUCUUUUGAGUACCAUCAUUUGAAAAUGUUCAUGUUUCAUGGAUUUCAUAUGUUGAGUUUGAGGUUUGAUUAUGUUACUCAAGUGGUUAUUAUGUGGAAUGGGUGGAAGUAAAUGCCUAGCACAUUUUUAUUUGGGAAGAACUUAUGAUGUUGUCAUGCAUAAUGCACUCAUCAUCCAUUGCAUUGAAGUUUCGUCGCGAUCUUAUGGUCCGAUCGUACCGGUACAUUGAGCAUCAUAUGUUGCCCGAGAAGGGGUAUGGUGCAGCUUCAUAUCCUUAGAGAUAUGGAGGCAGAAGUCAUUAUUGCAUUUGUAGCCAUGUGCAUUCAUGGGAGAGGUGUUGAAUCUAUUAUGUGGAUGUGGAUAAUUUGGACUUGUGCAUGGUGAUUCUACUUGGCGUUGAGUUUUUAGUUACUUGUAUACUUGCUGCAAUUUACUGUUCAAAAGAAAAGAAAGAAGUCCUGAACACGUGGUUGUGUAAGCACAGUUGAUUUACAAUGGCCUACUUGUUGUUGUUAUGUUUACUUGCUGAGAUGUGUUAUCUCACAUCUUGCAUUGUUUGAUGCAGGCACCUAAUUUCUGAUUUGGGGAAUAAAGGGGACGUAGCAGCACGGCCACUACACCUUUAAUAAAGGAACCACCAUUUAAUAAUGUUGAUAAUCAGAGUUGGACAAGUCUAGUGAAUUGCUUUGUUCUUGGUUGAGCGUUUAUUUUGGGGUGGGC